GCUGGCAGCUAGCGCUCUGCAACUUUUACAUAGUCGCCCACUAGCUAAGCAGGACUGCGCCCGGUCAGUACCAGGAUGGGAGUCCAUAUGGGAAAGUUAGGUUGCUGCCGAAA
rnacentral:rRNA from 1 species